rnacentral:lncRNA from 1 species
AUGUCUGUCAGACAGUUUUCACUUGACCUCGACCUCAUUUCAUGGAUCAGUGAACAAGGUUAAGUUUUGGUGGUCAAGUCCAUAUAUCAGAUACUAUAAGCAAUAGGGCUAGUAUAUUCGGUGUAUGGAAGGACUGUAAGGUGUACAUGUCCAACUGGCAGGUGUCAUCUGACCUUGACCUCAUUUUCAUGGUUCAGUGGUUAUAGGUAAAUUUUUGUGUUUUGGUCUGUUUUUUUCGUACUAAAUGCAAUAGGUCUACUAUAUUUGUUAUAUGGAAUGAUUGUAAGGUGUACAUGUCUAGCGGGCAGAUGUCAUGUGACCUUGACCUCAUUUUCAUGGUUCAGUGGUUAUAGUUAAAUUUUUGUGUUUUGGUCUGUUUUUUUUUCAUACUAUAUGCAAUAGGUCUACUAUAUUUGUUGUAUGGAAUGAUUGUAAGGUGUACAUGUCUAGCGGGCAGAUGUCAUGUGACCUUGACCUCAUUUUCAUGGUUCAGUGGUCAAAGUUAAGUUUUUGAGUUUUGGUCUUUUUAUCUAAUACUAUAUGCCAUAGGUCAACUAUAUUUGGUGUAUGGAAAUAUUUUAUGAUCUUUAUGUCAGUAGCGCAGGUUUCUUUUGACCCUGACAUCAUUUUCAUGGUUCAUUGCACAGUGUUAAGUUUUUUUUUGUGUUUUGGUCUAUUUUUCUUAAACUGUAAGUAAUAGGUCAACUAUAUAUGUUGUAUAGAAGCAUUGUUAGCUGUACAUGUCUACCUGGCAUGGUUCAUCUGACCUUGACCUCAUUUUCAUGGUUCAUUGGUCUUUGUUUAGUUAUCUUGGUUAAUGUUAAGUUUAUGAGACAGUUGUAAUAAAGCUUUAUACUUAGGACUAUCUACAUAAUAUCAAUGAUUAGUAUAGAAGGCGAGACAUUUCAGCGUGUGCACUCUUGUUAU